GGUUAAGCGACUAAGCGUACACGGUGGAUGCCCUGGCAGUCAGAGGCGAUGAAGGGCGUGCUAAUCUGCGAUAAGCGCCGGUAAGGUGAUAUGAACCGUUAUAACCGGCGAUACCCGAAUGGGGAAACCCAGUGUGAUUCGUCACACUAUCAUUAACUGAAUCCAUAGGUUAAUGAGGCGAACCGGGGGAACUGAAACAUCUAAGUACCCCGAGGAAAAGAAAUCAACCGAGAUUCCCCCAGUAGCGGCGAGCGAACGGGGAGGAGCCCAGAGCCUGAAUCAGCAUGUGUGUUAGUGGAAGCGUCUGGAAAGGCGCGCGAUACAGGGUGACAGCCCCGUACACAAAAGCGCAUGUGCUGUGAGCUCGAUGAGUAGGGCGGGACACGUGGUAUCCUGUCUGAAUAUGGGGGGACCAUCCUCCAAGGCUAAAUACUCCUGACUGACCGAUAGUGAACCAGUACCGUGAGGGAAAGGCGAAAAGAACCCCGGCGAGGGGAGUGAAAAAGAACCUGAAACCGUGUACGUACAAGCAGUGGGAGCACCCUUCGGGGUGUGACUGCGUACCUUUUGUAUAAUGGGUCAGCGACUUAUAUUCUGUAGCAAGGUUAACCGAAUAGGGGAGCCGGAGGGAAACCGAGUCUUAACCGGGCGUUAAGUUGCAGGGUAUAGACCCGAAACCCGGUGAUCUAGCCAUGGGCAGGUUGAAGGUUGGGUAACACUAACUGGAGGACCGAACCGACUAAUGUUGAAAAAUUAGCGGAUGACCUGUGGCUGGGGGUGAAAGGCCAAUCAAACCGGGAGAUAGCUGGUUCUCCCCGAAAGCUAUUUAGGUAGCGCCUCGUGAAUUCAUCUCCGGGGGUAGAGCACUGUUUCGGCUAGGGGGCCAUCCCGGCUUACCAACCCGAUGCAAACUGCGAAUACCGGAGAAUGUUAUCACGGGAGACACACGGCGGGUGCUAACGUCCGUCGUGAAGAGGGAAACAACCCAGACCGCCAGCUAAGGUCCCAAAGUCAUGGUUAAGUGGGAAACGAUGUGGGAAGGCCCAGACAGCCAGGAUGUUGGCUUAGAAGCAGCCAUCAUUUAAAGAAAGCGUAAUAGCUCACUGGUCGAGUCGGCCUGCGCGGAAGAUGUAACGGGGCUAAACCAUGCACCGAAGCUGCGGCAGCGAA
rnacentral:rRNA from 1 species